rnacentral:rRNA from 1 species
CCUACGGGAGGCAGCAGUGGGGAAUAUUGGACAAUGGGCGCAAGCCUGAUCCAGCAAUGCCGCGUGAGUGAUGAAGGCCUUCGGGUCGUAAAGCUCUUUUACCCGGGAUGAUAAUGACAGUACCGGGAGAAUAAGCUCCGGCUAACUCCGUGCCAGCAGCCGCGGUAAUACGGAGGGAGCUAGCGUUGUUCGGAAUUACUGGGCGUAAAGCGCACGUAGGCGGUUAUUCAAGUCAGAGGUGAAAGCCCGGGGCUCAACCCCGGAACUGCCUUUGAAACUAGAUGACUAGAAUCUUGGAGAGGUCAGUGGAAUUCCGAGUGUAGAGGUGAAAUUCGUAGAUAUUCGGAAGAACACCAGUGGCGAAGGCGACUGACUGGACAAGUAUUGACGCUGAGGUGCGAAAGCGUGGGAGCAAACAGGAUUAGAUACCCUGGUAGUCCACGCCGUAAACGAUGAUAACUAGCUGUCCGGGUACUUGGUAUUUGGGUGGCGCAGCUAACGCAUUAAGUUAUCCGCCUGGGGAGUACGGUCGCAAGAUUAAAACUCAAAUGAAAUUGAACGG